rnacentral:lncRNA from 1 species
GAAAUAAAAUUCAGCGAGGUGAAAACUGGAAAAAUUGAAAAGAGUGACCUCGGAAGUGAUGACGUGUUCCUGUUUGAUUCAUGUGACCAGAUUUUUGUUUGGAUUGGUAAGAAUGCUUCGCCGGCUGAGAAGAGGAAUGGAUUAAUUUAUGCCAAUAACCACCUUCGUGAGACAGAUCGUCCACAUUUGCAAAUUCAUGUAGUCGUCGAGGGUCAUGACUCUGAAAGUCUCGAUAAUGCUUUGUCAGCUUAAAUAUUCUGCAGGAUAUAUAACGAGGAGGAAUGUCGUAUAUAGCUUCUAGACAAUUUUAGGCACUUGUGGAUAGAGAUUUUAUUAUAUAGUAACUGUAUAUGUCAACAACAUGGU